rnacentral:rRNA from 1 species
UUGGAGGGCAAGUCUGGUGCCAGCAGCCGCGGUAAUUCCAGCUCCAAUAGCGUAUAUUAAAGUUGUUGCAGUUAAAAAGCUCGUAGUUGAAUUUCGGGAUCAAUGUUUCGGUCAUGCCGUUGGUAUGUACUGAUAUUAUUGGUUUCUCACCUUCUAAAGAACCGUAAUGCCAUUAAUUUGGUGUCACGGGGAAUUAGGACUGUUACCUUGAAAAAAUUAGAGUGUUUAAAGCAGGCUCACGCUUGAAUACAUUAGCAUGGAAUAAUGAAAUAGGACAUCCGGUUCUAUUUUGUUGGUUUCUAGGAUCGAUGUAAUGAUUAAUAGGGAUAGUUGGGGGCAUUAGUAUUCAAUUGUCAGAGGUGAAAUUCUUGGAUUUAUUGAAGACUAACUACUGCGAAAGCAUUUGCCAAGGAUGUUUUCAUUAAUCAAGAACGAAAGUUAGGGGAUCGAAGACGAUCAGAUACCGUCGUAGUCUUAACCAUAAACUAUGCCGACUAGGGAUCGGAUGAUGUUAAUUUUUUAAUGACUCAUUCGGCGCCUUACGGGAAACCAAAGUGUUUGGGUUC